GAUGAACGCUGGCGGCGUGCCUAAUACAUGCAAGUCGAGCGAACGGACGAGAAGCUUGCUUCUCUGAUGUUAGCGGCGGACGGGUGAGUAACACGUGGAUAACCUACCUAUAAGACUGGGAUAACUUCGGGAAACCGGAGCUAAUACCGGAUGAUAUUUUGAACCGCAUGGUUCAAAAGUGAAAGACGGUCUUGCUGUCACUUAUAGAUGGAUCCGCGCUGCAUUAGCUAGUUGGUAAGGUAACGGCUUACCAAGGCAACGAUGCAUAGCCGACCUGAGAGGGUGAUCGGCCACCCUGGAACUGGGACACGGUCCAGACUCCUACGGGAGGCAGCAGUAGGGAAUCUUCCGCAAUGGGCGAAAGCCUGACGGAGCAACGCCGCGUGAGUGAUGAAGGUCUUCGGAUCGUACAACUCUGUUAUUAGGGACGAACAUAUGUGUAAGUAACUGUGCACAUCUUGACGGUACCUAAUCAGAAAGCCACGGCUAACUACGUG
rnacentral:rRNA from 1 species